rnacentral:rRNA from 1 species
AUUGACCGCUGGCGGCAGGCCUAACACAUGCAAGUCGAACGACUGGCGGACGGGUGAGUAAUGUCGGGGAAACUGCCUGAUGGAGGGGGAUAACUACUGGAAACGGUAGCUAAUACCGCAUACCAUACGUUGUGCCCAGAUGGGAUUGGCUUGGUGGUGGGGUAACGGCUCACCAAGGCGAAGAUCCCUAGCUGGUCUGAGAGGAUGACCAGCCACACUGGAACGGAGACACGGUCCAGACUCCUACGGGAGGCAGCAGUGGGGAAUAAUGCACAAGGGGCGCAAGCCUGAUGCAGCCAUGCCGCGUGUAUUAAGAAGGCCUUCGGGUUGUAAAGUACUUUCAGCGGCGAGGCGUUACCCGCAGAAGAAGCACCGGCUAACUCCGUGCCAGCAGCCGCGGUAAUAC